rnacentral:rRNA from 1 species
AUUGAACGCUGGCGGCAGGCUUAACACAUGCAAGUCGAGCGAGCGGCGGACGGGUGCGUAAUGUCUGGGAAACUUCCUGGUGGAGGGGGAUCACUACUGGCAACGGUAGCUAAUACCGCAUACCAUCAGAUGUGCCCAGAGGGGAUUAGCUAGUGGGUGGGGUAAUGGCGCACCUAGGCCACGAUCCCUAGCUGGUCUGAGAGGAUGACCAGCCACACUGGAACUGAGACACGGUCCAGACUCCUACGGGAGGCAGCAGUGGGGAAUAUUGCACAAUGGGCGCAAGCCUGAUACAGCCAUGCCGCGUGUGUGAAGAAGGCCUUCGGGUUGUAAAGCACUUUAAGCGAGGAGGCGUUACUCGCAGAAGAAGCACCGGCUAACUCCGUGCCAGCAGCCGCGGUAAUAC